GUGCCAGCAGCCGCGGUAAUACUGAGGGUGCAAGCGUUAAUCGGAAUUACUGGGCGUAAAGCGUGCGUAGGCGGUUUAUUAAGUCAGAUGUGAAAGCCCCGGGCUUAACCUGGGAACUGCAUUUGAAACUGGUCAACUAGAGUAUGGUAGAGGAAAGUGGAAUUUCUGGUGUAGCGGUGAAAUGCGUAGAUAUCAGAAGGAACAUCAAUGGCGAAGGCAGCUUUCUGGACCAAUACUGGCGCUAAGGUACGAAAGCGUGGGUAGCAAACAGGAUUAGAUACCCUGGUAGUCCACGCCGUAAACGAUGAUAACUAGCCGUUGGGGGGAUUUACCCCUUAGUGGCGAAGCUAACGCGUUAAGUUAUCCGCCUGGGGAGUACGGCCGCAAGGCUAAAACUCAAAGGAAUUGACGGGGACCCGCACAAGCGGUGGAGCAUGUGGUUUAAUUCGAUGCAACGCGAAGAACCUUACCUGGUCUUGACAUCCUGCGAACUUUCUAGAAAUAGAUUGGUGCCUUCGGGAACGCAGUGACAGGUGCUGCAUGGCUGUCGUCAGCUCGUGUCGUGAGAUGUUGGGUUAAGUCCCGUAACGAGCGCAACCCCUAUCCUUAUUUGCCAGCACAUUAUGGUGGGAACUAUAAGGAGACUGCCGGUGAUAAACCGGAGGAAGGCGGGGACGACGUCAAGUCAUCAUGGCCCUUACGACCAGGGCUACACACGUGCUACAAUGGGAAGGACAAAGAGUCGCGAAGCCGCGAGGUGUAGCUAAUCUCACAAAUCUUUUCGUAGUCCGGAUUGGAGUCUGCAACUCGACUCCAUGAAGUCGGAAUCGCUAGUAAUCGUAGAUCAGAAUGCUACGGUGAAUACGUUCCCGGGUCUUGUACACACCGCCCGUCAUACCAUGGGAGUGGGUUGCACCAGAAGUGGCUAGUCUAACUUUGUGAGGACGGUCACCACGGUGUGAUUCAUGACUGGGGUAA
rnacentral:rRNA from 1 species